rnacentral:rRNA from 1 species
CCUACGGGUGGCAGCAGUGGGGAAUAUUGGGCAAUGGGCGCAAGCCUGACCCAGCAACGCCGCGUGAAGGAAGAAGGCUUUCGGGUUGUAAACUUCUUUUAUCAGGGACGAAGCAAGUGACGGUACCUGAUGAAUAAGCCACGGCUAACUACGUGCCAGCAGCCGCGGUAAUACGUAGGUGGCAAGCGUUAUCCGGAUUUACUGGGUGGAAAGGGCGUGUAGGCGGGAGUGCAAGUCAGAUGUGAAAACUAUGGGCUCAACCCAUAGGCUGCCUUUGAAACUGUACUUCUUGAGUGCUGGGGGGGGAAAUGGAAUUCCGGGGGGAGCGGGGGAAUGCGUAGGUAUAAGGAGGAACACCAGGGGGGAAGGGGGAUUUGUGGAAAGUAACUGACGCUGAGGCGGGAAAGCGUGGGGAGCAAACAGGAUUAGAUACCCCAGUAGUC